AGCGAACGCUGGCGGCAGGCUUAACACAUGCAAGUCGAGCGCCCCGCAAGGGGAGCGGCAGACGGGUGAGUAACACGUGGGAACGUACCCUUUGGUUCGGAACAACCCAGGGAAACUUGGGCUAAUACCGGAUAAGUCCGCGAGGAGAAAGAUUUAUCGCCGAAGGAUCGGCCCGCGUCUGAUUAGCUAGUUGGUGUGGUAACGGCGCACCAAGGCGACGAUCAGUAGCUGGUCUGAGAGGAUGAUCAGCCACACUGGGACUGAGACACGGCCCAGACUCCUACGGGAAGCAGUAGUGGGGAAUAUUGGACAAUGGGGGCAACCCUGAUCCAGCCAUGCCGCGUGAGUGAUGAAGGCCCUAGGGUUGUAAAGCUCUUUCGGUGGGGAAGAUAAUGACGGUACCCACAGAAGAAGCCCCGGCUAACUUCGUG
rnacentral:rRNA from 1 species